UAAGCGACUAAGCGUACACGGUGGAUGCCCUGGCAGUCAGAGGCGAUGAAGGACGUGCUAAUCUGCGAUAAGCGUCGGUAAGGUGAUAUGAACCGUUAUAACCGGCGAUUUCCGAAUGGGGAAACCCAGUGUGAUUCGUCACACUAUCAUUAACUGAAUCCAUAGGUUAAUGAGGCGAACCGGGGGAACUGAAACAUCUAAGUACCCCGAGGAAAAGAAAUCAACCGAGAUUCCCCCAGUAGCGGCGAGCGAACGGGGAGGAGCCCAGAGCCUGAAUCAGUGUGUGUGUUAGUGGAAGCGUCUGGAAAGGCGCGCGAUACAGGGUGACAGCCCCGUACACAAAAAUGCACAUGCUGUGAGCUCGAUGAGUAGGGCGGGACACGUGGUAUCCUGUCUGAAUAUGGGGGGACCAUCCUCCAAGGCUAAAUACUCCUGACUGACCGAUAGUGAACCAGUACCGUGAGGGAAAGGCGAAAAGAACCCCGGCGAGGGGAGUGAAAAAGAACCUGAAACCGUGUACGUACAAGCAGUGGGAGCACGCUUAGGCGUGUGACUGCGUACCUUUUGUAUAAUGGGUCAGCGACUUAUAUUCUGUAGCAAGGUUAACCGAAUAGGGGAGCCGAAGGGAAACCGAGUCUUAACUGGGCGUUAAGUUGCAGGGUAUAGACCCGAAACCCGGUGAUCUAGCCAUGGGCAGGUUGAAGGUUGGGUAACACUAACUGGAGGACCGAACCGACUAAUGUUGAAAAAUUAGCGGAUGACUUGUGGCUGGGGGUGAAAGGCCAAUCAAACCGGGAGAUAGCUGGUUCUCCCCGAAAGCUAUUUAGGUAGCGCCUCGUGAAUUCAUCUCCGGGGGUAGAGCACUGUUUCGGCAAGGGGGUCAUCCCGACUUACCAACCCGAUGCAAACUGCGAAUACCGGAGAAUGUUAUCACGGGAGACACACGGCGGGUGCUAACGUCCGUCGUGAAGAGGGAAACAACCCAGACCGCCAGCUAAGGUCCCAAAGUCAUGGUUAAGUGGGAAACGAUGUGGGAAGGCCCAGACAGCCAGGAUGUUGGCUUAGAAGCAGCCAUCAUUUAAAGAAAGCGUAAUAGCUCACUGGUCGAGUCGGCCUGCGCGGAAGAUGUAACGGGGCUAAACCAUGCACCGAAGCUGCGGCAGCGACGCUGAUGCGUUGUUGGGUAGGGGAGCGUUCUGUAAGCCUGUGAAGGUGUGCUGUGAGGCAUGCUGGAGGUAUCAGAAGUGCGAAUGCUGACAUAAGUAACGAUAAAGCGGGUGAAAAGCCCGCUCGCCGGAAGACCAAGGGUUCCUGUCCAACGUUAAUCGGGGCAGGGUGAGUCGACCCCUAAGGCGAGGCCGAAAGGCGUAGUCGAUGGGAAACAGGUUAAUAUUCCUGUACUUGGUGUUACUGCGAAGGGGGGACGGAGAAGGCUAUGUUGGCCGGGCGACGGUUGUCCCGGUUUAAGCGUGUAGGCUGGUUUUCCAGGCAAAUCCGGAAAACUAAGGCUGAGGCGUGAUGACGAGGCACUACGGUGCUGAAGCAACAAAUGCCCUGCUUCCAGGAAAAGCCUCUAAGCAUCAGGUAACAUCAAAUCGUACCCCAAACCGACACAGGUGGUCAGGUAGAGAAUACCAAGGCGCUUGAGAGAACUCGGGUGAAGGAACUAGGCAAAAUGGUGCCGUAACUUCGGGAGAAGGCACGCUGAUAUGUAGGUGAAGUCCCUCGCGGAUGGAGCUGAAAUCAGUCGAAGAUACCAGCUGGCUGCAACUGUUUAUUAAAAACACAGCACUGUGCAAACACGAAAGUGGACGUAUACGGUGUGACGCCUGCCCGGUGCCGGAAGGUUAAUUGAUGGGGUCAGCGCAAGCGAAGCUCUUGAUCGAAGCCCCGGUAAACGGCGGCCGUAACUAUAACGGUCCUAAGGUAGCGAAAUUCCUUGUCGGGUAAGUUCCGACCUGCACGAAUGGCGUAAUGAUGGCCAGGCUGUCUCCACCCGAGACUCAGUGAAAUUGAACUCGCUGUGAAGAUGCAGUGUACCCGCGGCAAGACGGAAAGACCCCGUGAACCUUUACUAUAGCUUGACACUGAACAUUGAGCCUUGAUGUGUAGGAUAGGUGGGAGGCUUUGAAGUGUGGACGCCAGUCUGCAUGGAGCCGACCUUGAAAUACCACCCUUUAAUGUUUGAUGUUCUAACGUUGACCCGUAAUCCGGGUUGCGGACAGUGUCUGGUGGGUAGUUUGACUGGGGCGGUCUCCUCCUAAAGAGUAACGGAGGAGCACGAAGGUUGGCUAAUCCUGGUCGGACAUCAGGAGGUUAGUGCAAUGGCAUAAGCCAGCUUGACUGCGAGCGUGACGGCGCGAGCAGGUGCGAAAGCAGGUCAUAGUGAUCCGGUGGUUCUGAAUGGAAGGGCCAUCGCUCAACGGAUAAAAGGUACUCCGGGGAUAACAGGCUGAUACCGCCCAAGAGUUCAUAUCGACGGCGGUGUUUGGCACCUCGAUGUCGGCUCAUCACAUCCUGGGGCUGAAGUAGGUCCCAAGGGUAUGGCUGUUCGCCAUUUAAAGUGGUACGCGAGCUGGGUUUAGAACGUCGUGAGACAGUUCGGUCCCUAUCUGCCGUGGGCGCUGGAGAACUGAGGGGGGCUGCUCCUAGUACGAGAGGACCGGAGUGGACGCAUCACUGGUGUUCGGGUUGUCAUGCCAAUGGCACUGCCCGGUAGCUAAAUGCGGAAGAGAUAAGUGCUGAAAGCAUCUAAGCACGAAACUUGCCCCGAGAUGAGUUCUCCCUGACUCCUUGAGAGUCCUGAAGGAACGUUGAAGACGACGACGUUGAUAGGCCGGGUGUGUAAGCGCAGCGAUGCGUUGAGCUAACCGGUACUAAUGAACCGUGAGGCUUAACCU
rnacentral:rRNA from 1 species